rnacentral:tRNA from 6 species
AGCCCCGUCGUCUAGCGGCCAAGGAUCGGGGACUUUGGAUCCCCUGACGCCGGUUCGAAUCCGGCCGGGGCUA